rnacentral:rRNA from 1 species
CCUACGGGAGGCAGCAGUGAGGAAUAUUGGUCAAUGGGCGGGAGCCUGAACCAGCCAAGUCGCGUGAGGGAAGACGGUCCUAUGGAUUGUAAACCUCUUUAGGCGGGGAGCAAUGCCGGGCACGCGUGCCCGGAGGGAGAGUACCCGCAGAAUAAGCAUCGGCUAACUCCGUGCCAGCAGCCGCGGUAAUAGGGAGGCUGCGAGCGUUAUCCGGAUUUAUGGGGUUUAAGGGGUGCGUAGGCGGAUUUUUAAGUCAGCGGUAAAAUGUCCGGGCUCAACCCGGGCCGGCCGUUGAAACUGGGGAUCUUGAGUGGGCGAGAAGUAUGCGGAAUGCGUGGUGUAGCGGUGAAAUGCAUAGAUAUCACGCAGAACUCCGAUUGCGAAGGCAGCAUACCGGCGCCCGACUGACGCUGAGGCACGAAAGCGUGGGGAUCGAACAGGAUUAGAUACCCCAGUAGUC